AUCUACGGCCAUGCCACCCUGAACAAGCCCGAUCCCAUCUGAUCUCGGAAGCUAAGCAGGGUCGGGCCUGGUUAGUACUUGGAUGGGAGACCACUUAGGAAGACCGGGUGCUGUAGGCA
rnacentral:rRNA from 1 species